GGGUUAAGUCCCGCAACGAGCGCAACCCUCAUUGUUAGUUACUACCAUUCAGUUGAGGACUCUAAUGAGACUGCCAACGAUAAGUUGGAGGAAGGUGGGGAUGACGUCAAAUCAUCAUGCCCUUUAUGACCUGGGCUACAAACGUACUACAAUGGCCAAUACAAAGAGAUGCGAAGCGGUGACGUGGAGCGAACCUCAGAAAGUUGGUCUCAGUUCAGAUUGAAGUCUGCAACUCGACUUCAUGAAGGCGGAAUCGCUAGUAAUCGCGGGUCAGCAGACCGCGGUGAAUACGUUCCCGGGUUUU
rnacentral:rRNA from 1 species